rnacentral:rRNA from 1 species
UGGCCAGACUCCUACGGGAGGCAGCAGUGGGGAAUAUUGCACAAUGGGGGAAACCCUGAUGCAGCGACGCCGCGUGAGUGAAGAAGUAUUUCGGUAUGUAAAGCUCUAUCAGCAGGGAAGAUAAUGACGGUACCUGAGUAAGAAGCCCCGGCUAACUACGUGCCAGCAGCCGCGGUAAUACGUAGGGGGCAAGCGUUAUCCGGAUUUACUGGGUGUAAAGGGAGCGUAGACGGCAUGGCAAGUCUGAAGUGAAAGCCCGGGGCUCAACCGCGGGACUGCUUUGGAAACUGUGCAGCUAGAGUGCAGGAGAGGUAAGUGGAAUUCCUAGUGUAGCGGUGAAAUGCGUAGAUAUUAGGAGGAACACCAGUGGCGAAGGCGGCUUACUGGACUGUAACUGACGUUGAGGCUCGAAAGCGUGGGGAGCAAACAGGAUUAGAUACCCUAGUAGCA